GCAGUCGUGGCCGAGUGGUUAAGGCGACGGAUUAGAAAUCCGUUGGGGGUACCCCUGCAUAGGUUCGAAUCCUAUCGACUGCG